rnacentral:rRNA from 1 species
UACAGAGGGGGCAAGCGUUGUUCGGAAUUACUGGGCGUAAAGGGCGCGUAGGCGGCCUGUUAAGUCGAACGUGAAAUCCCCGGGCUCAACCCGGGAACUGCGUCCGAUACUGGCAGGCUUGAAUCCGGGAGAGGGAUGUGGAAUUUCAGGUGUAGCGGUGAAAUGCGUAGAUAUCUGGAGGAACACCGGUGGCGAAGGCGGCAUCCUGGACCGGUAUUGACGCUGAGGCGCGAAAGCCAGGGGAGCAAACGGG